GCUGGGUGUGGUGGCUCCCACCUAUAGUCCCAGCUACUCAGGAGGCUGAGGCAGGAGGAUCCCUGGAGCCCAGGAGUUCGAGGCUGCAGUGAGCUGUGACUGCAACACUGCGCUCCAGCCUGGGCAACACAGUGAGACCCUGUUUCAA
ensembl:misc_RNA Metazoa_SRP Metazoan signal recognition particle RNA